GACGAACGCUGGCGGCGUGCUUAACACAUGCAGGUCGAACGGAAAGGCCUGCUUUCCCUUGUGGAUUGCGGGUACUCGAGUGGCGAACGGGUGAGUAACACGUGAGUGAUCUGCCCCCAACUUGGGUAUAAGCCUGGGAAACUGGGUCUAAUUCCCGAUAGGACUGCAGGGUGGUGCCUGUGGUGGAAAACGAUUUUCUAGUGGUUGGGGAUGAGCUCGCGGCCUAUCAGCUUGUUGGUGGGGUAAUGGCCUACCAAGGCGGCGACGGGUAGCCGGCCUGAGAGGGUGACGGCCACAUUGGGACUGAGAUACGGCCCAGACUCCUACGGGAGGCAGCAGUGGGGAAUAUUGCACAAUGGGCGGAAGCCUGAUGCAGCGACGCCGCGUGGGGGAUGACGGCCUUCGGGUUGUAAACUCCUUUCGACCGCGAGGAAGCCACCUGGUUGGAAGGGUGGUGACGGUAGUGGUAGAAGAAGCACCGGCUAACUACGUG
rnacentral:rRNA from 1 species